rnacentral:rRNA from 1 species
GCCAUGCCGCGUGCAGGAUGACGGUCCUAUGGAUUGUAAACUGCUUUUGCACAGGAAGAAACACUCCGACGUGUCGGAGCUUGACGGUACUGUGAGAAUAAGGAUCGGCUAACUCCGUGCCAGCAGCCGCGGUAAUACGGAGGAUCCAAGCGUUAUCCGGAAUCAUUGGGUUUAAAGGGUCCGUAGGCGGUCUUGUAAGUCAGUGGUGAAAGCCCAUCGCUCAACGGUGGAACGGCCAUUGAUACUGCAGGACUUGAAUUAUUGGGAAGUAACUAGAAUAUGUAGUGUAGCGGUGAAAUGCUUAGAGAUUACAUGGAAUACCAAUUGCGAAGGCAGGUUACUACCAAUGGAUUGACGCUGAUGGACGAAAGCGUGGGUAGCGAACAGGAUUAGAUACCCUGGUAGUCCACGCCGUAAACGAUGGAUACUAGCUGUUGGGAGCAAUCUCAGUGGCUAAGCGAAAGUGAUAAGUAUCCCACCUGGGGAGUACGAACGCAAGUUUGAAACUCAAAGGAAUUGACGGGGGCCCGCACAAGCGGUGGAGCAUGUGGUUUAAUUCGAUGAUACGCGAGGAACCUUACCAAGGCUUAAAUGCAGACUGACCGAUUUGGAAACAGAUCUUUCGC